rfam:Paramecium bursaria Chlorella virus FR483, complete genome.
GGCACGAUUCCCAAGUCUGGUCAACGGGGCUGGUCUUAAGAACCAGUGCAAUAUGCUUCGUCGGUUCAAAUCCGGCUCGUGCUA